rnacentral:rRNA from 1 species
UACGUACCGUCCAAACGUUAUUCGGAUUCACUGGGCUUAAAGGGUGCGUAGGCGGCUCAGAAAGUAGGGUGUGAAAGCCCUCGGCUUAACCGAGGAAUUGCGCUCUAAACUACUGGGCUUGAGGAACGCAGAGGUAAGCGGAACUUACGGUGGAGCGGUGAAAUGCGUUGAUAUCGUAAGGAACACCAGGAGCGAAAGCGGCUUACUGGGCGUUUUCUGACGCUGAUGCACGAAAGCUAGGGGAGCGAACGGGAUUAGAUACCCCGGUAGUCCUAGCCGUAAACGAUGAGCACUGGAUUGGAGGCCCCCCCAUAGGCUUCUAGUCGUAGCGAAAGUGUUAAGUGCUCCGCCUGGGGAGUAUGGUCGCAAGGCUGAAACUCAAAG